UACGUAGGGCGCAAGCGUUGUCCGGAAUUAUUGGGCGUAAAGAGCUCGUAGGCGGUGUGUCGCGUCGGCCGUGAAAACCUGCAGCUUAACUGUGGGCGUGCGGUCGAUACGGGCAUCACUGGAGUUCGGCAGGGGAGACUGGAAUUCCUGGUGUAGCGGUGAAAUGCGCAGAUAUCAGGAGGAACACCGGUGGCGAAGGCGGUCUCUGGGCCGAUACUGACGCUGAGGAGCGAAAGCGUGGGAGCAAACAGG
rnacentral:rRNA from 1 species